UGAGAAUUUCCAGAUGCAAACGAGAAGAGAGAGAUUGCAGACUAAUCAGAUGAACUCGCUUUAUUUUACAUUUUUACAGUUGCUAUGUAUUCUUCCCCCCAAAAUAGAGCAGACUGAAGACUGAUUUCCAUCCAAAUUUUGAAAAAUAAAGCUGAUCCUCCAACCGGAUAUGAAAGAGAAGGAAAGGCCAAACAGAGGACCCUUAACGGGAAAACAGAAAUCAAAGCAAAUAACCAAGGUAAAAAAAAGAUAUUAAUGCUUAUGAUAAUUUAAAAAGUAAAUAAAUAAGGAAACUAGCAAAAACUC
rnacentral:lncRNA from 1 species